rnacentral:rRNA from 1 species
AGUGAACGCUGGCGGCGUGCUUAACACAUGCAAGUCGAACGAGAACGGAUUAUAGCUUGCUAUAAUUGUCAGCUAAGUGGCGCACGGGUGAGUAAUGUAUAGGUAAUAUGCCUCUUACUAAGGGAUAACAAAUGGAAACGUUUGCUAAUACCUUAUACUCCUUAUUAACAGAAGUUAAUAAGGGAAAGAUUUAUUGGUAAGAGAUUAGCCUGUAUUGUAUCAGUUAGUUGGUGGGGUAAUGGCCUACCAAGACUAUGACACAUAACUGGUUUGAGAGGAUGCUCAGUCACACUGGAACUGAGACACGGUCCAGACUCCUACAGGAGGCAGCAGUGGGGAAUAUUGCACAAUGGACGAAAGUCUGAUGCAGCAACGCCGCGUGGAGGAUGACACAUUUCGGUGCGUAAACUCCUUUUAUAUGAGAAGAUAAUGACGGUAUUAUAUGAAUAAGCACCGGCUAACUCCGUGCAGCAGCCGCCGUAA